AACGAACGCUGGCGGCAUGCCUAACACAUGCAAGUCGAACGAGACCUUCGGGUCUAGUGGCGCACGGGUGCGUAACGCGUGGGAACCUGCCCUUAGGUUCGGAAUAACUCCCCGAAAGGGGUGCUAAUACCGGAUAAUGUCUUCGGACCAAAGAUUUAUCGCCUUUGGAUGGGCCCGCGUUGGAUUAGCUAGUUGGUAGGGUAAAAGCCUACCAAGGCGACGAUCCAUAGCUGGUCUGAGAGGAUGAUCAGCCACACUGGGACUGAGACACGGCCCAGACUCCUACGGGAGGCAGCAGUAGGUAGUAUUGGACAAUGAGCGAAAGCCUGAUCCAGCAAUGCCGCGUGAGUGAUGAAGGCCUUAGGGUUGUAAAGCUCUUUUUCCCGGGAUGAUAAUGACAGUACCGGGUGAAUAAGCUCCGGCUAACUCCGUG
rnacentral:rRNA from 1 species